UACGUAGGGUGCAAGCGUUGUCCGGAAUUAUUGGGCGUAAAGAGCUCGUAGGCGGUCUGUCGCGUCUGCUGUGAAAACUCGGGGCUUAACCCCGAGCCUGCUUCUGAUACGGGCAGACUAGAGGUAUGCAGGGGAGAACGGAAUUCCUGGUGUAGCGGUGAAAUGCGCAGAUAUCAGGAGGAACACCGGUGGCGAAGGCGGGUCUCUGGGCCGAUACUGACGCUGAGGAGCGAAAGCGUGGGGAGCGAACAGG
rnacentral:rRNA from 1 species